rnacentral:rRNA from 1 species
AUUGAACGCUGGCGGCAUGCCUUACACAUGCAAGUCGAACGGCAGCACGGGAGCAAUCCUGGUGGCGAGUGGCGAACGGGUGAGUAAUGUAUCGGAACGUACCUUUCAGUGGGGGAUAACGUAGCGAAAGUUACGCUAAUACCGCAUAUUCUGUGAGCAGGAAAGCAGGGGAUCGCAAGACCUUGCGCUGAUUGAGCGGCCGAUAUCAGAUUAGCUAGUUGGUGGGGUAAAGGCCUACCAAGGCGACGAUCUGUAGCGGGUCUGAGAGGAUGAUCCGCCACACUGGAACUGAGACACGGCCCAGACUCCUACGGGAGGCAGCAGUGGGGAAUUUUGGACAAUGGGGGCAACCCUGAUCCAGCCAUGCCGCGUGAGUGAAGAAGGCCUUCGGGUUGUAAAGCUCUUUCGGCCGGGAAGAAAUCGGUGGGGCUAAUAUCCCUACUGGAUGACGGUACCGGACUAAGAAGCACCGGCUAACUACGUGCCAGCAGCCGCGGUAAUACGUAGGGUGCGAGCGUUAAUCGGAAUUACUGGGCGUAAAGCGUGCGCAGGCGGUUUGUUAAGACAGGCGUGAAAUCCCCGGGCUUAACCUGGGAACUGCGCUUGUGACUGGCAGGCUAGAGUACGGCAGAGGGGGGUGGAAUUCCACGUGUAGCAGUGAAAUGCGUAGAGAUGUGGAGGAACACCGAUGGCGAAGGCAGCCCCCUGGGCCGAUACUGACGCUCAUGCACGAAAGCGUGGGGAGCAAACAGGAUUAGAUACCCUGGUAGUCCACGCCCUAAACGAUGUCAACUAGGUGUUGGGUGGGUAAAACCAUUUAGUACCGGAGCUAACGCGUGAAGUUG